UGUUCUGAGAGAACAAUAAUUAUCGCUUGACGAAUCGCCAUGUAAAUGGAUAAUGAAGGUAUGGUGCUUUUUUGCUCAUAAAAUAUUUAUCAUUCAAACGGAUUAGAAAAGUACUAUUGUUGAACUUAUUGGGUAAAUUUCUUAGAAAAUUUAUUGAUUUAUUUCUCGAGCAAAUUUGUUUCAACAAAUGCAUUCGGAUCUCUAAUAUAAUAUUUUUUUUUAUUUAGAUUUAAUUUAUGUUCAAAUGUUAUCUGGCAUACCCGCUACGGUUUAUGUACCUUGUGACGCACAAAGAAAGUGACAGUUUGCCGAUAACCACCACUCGAGCAAGUGGCGUUUUUGUGUGGCCACGAUGGCCGCUGCCGGCUGACCGGUACAAUCGGAUUGAAUUCACCGAAGUUAAACAAACCAGAAAUCUCGUUGUGGUCCAAAUAUCUUUAAUUCAACUCCGGCAAAACACGAAGCUUAUGUAAGAUUGGCCGUGGCUGCAGGAAGACCACGGGCUAUGUCCCGGUGGCCACGUCAAGGCGUAUGGUGCCGGAUGGCCAAGUCGUCGAUUAUUCUGAGCACGGUCACCAGGCCGGAUUUGAUGCGGCUGGAGGUGACUGCUUCGAGUUUGCUGAGCCAACGACAAACAGUUACGCAUAUGGACCACCGCGGAAAUAUAAAAGGAAGACAAGUGAAUAGUGUUGAAGUGCAUUAUUGUAUAUUGUGAAAUAAUGUGAAUAAAAUUUAUAAAUUUGA